UAGUCGGUUUCCAAAGAACACACAAUUAUUGCAUACCUUUCGAAUUGCAUCCAUUUAUUCUAACAAAAUUUGACUAAACUGACCUUCACUCACUCCAUCUCUAAUAAUUA